AUUGAACGCUGGCGGCAGGCUUAACACAUGCAAGUCGAGCGGAAACGAUGAUAGCUUGCUAUCAGGCGUCGAGCGGCGGACGGGUGAGUAAUACUUAGGAAUCUACCUAGUAGUGGGGGAUAGCACGGGGAAACUCGUAUUAAUACCGCAUACGACCUACGGGAGAAAGGGGGCAGUUUACUGCUCUCGCUAUUAGAUGAGCCUAAGUCGGAUUAGCUAGAUGGUGGGGUAAAGGCCUACCAUGGCGACGAUCUGUAGCUGGUCUGAGAGGAUGAUCAGCCACACCGGGACUGAGACACGGCCCGGACUCCUACGGGAGGCAGCAGUGGGGAAUAUUGGACAAUGGGGGAAACCCUGAUCCAGCCAUGCCGCGUGUGUGAAGAAGGCCUUUUGGUUGUAAAGCACUUUAAGCAGUGAAGAAGACUCCGUGGUUAAUACCCACGGACGAUGACAUUAGCUGCAGAAUAAGCACCGGCUAACUCUGUGCCAGCAGCCGCGGUAAUACAGAGGGUGCAAGCGUUAAUCGGAAUUACUGGGCGUAAAGGGAGCGUAGGUGGCUCUAUAAGUCAGAUGUGAAAUCCCCGGGCUCAACCUGGGAACUGCAUCUGAAACUGUAGAGCUAGAGUAUGUGAGAGGAAGGUAGAAUUCCAGGUGUAGCGGUGAAAUGCGUAGAGAUCUGGAGGAAUACCGAUGGCGAAGGCAGCCUUCUGGCAUAAUACUGACACUGAGGCUCGAAAGCGUGGGUAGCAAACAGGAUUAGAUACCCUGGUAGUCCACGCCGUAAACGAUGUCUACUAGUCGUUGGGUCCCUUGAGGACUUAGUGACGCAGCUAACGCAAUAAGUAGACCGCCUGGGGAGUACGGCCGCAAGGUUAAAACUCAAAUGAAUUGACGGGGGCCCGCACAAGCGGUGGAGCAUGUGGUUUAAUUCGAUGCAACGCGAAGAACCUUACCUGGUCUUGACAUAUCUAGAAUCCUGCAGAGAUGCGGGAGUGCCUUCGGGAAUUAGAAUACAGGUGCUGCAUGGCUGUCGUCAGCUCGUGUCGUGAGAUGUUGGGUUAAGUCCCGCAACGAGCGCAACCCUUGUCCUUAGUUACCAGCGGGUUAAGCCGGGAACUCUAAGGAUACUGCCAGUGACAAACUGGAGGAAGGCGGGGACGACGUCAAGUCAUCAUGGCCCUUACGACCAGGGCUACACACGUGCUACAAUGGUAGGUACAGAGGGCAGCUACACAGCGAUGUGAUGCGAAUCUCAAAAAGCCUAUCGUAGUCCAGAUUGGAGUCUGCAACUCGACUCCAUGAAGUAGGAAUCGCUAGUAAUCGCGGAUCAGAAUGCCGCGGUGAAUACGUUCCCGGGCCUUGUACACACCGCCCGUCACACCAUGGGAGUUGAUUGCACCAGAAGUGGAUAGCUUAACCUUCGGGGAGGCGUUCACCACGGUGUGGUUGAUGACUGGGGUGAAGUCGUAACAAGGUAGCCGUAGGGGAACC
rnacentral:rRNA from 1 species